rnacentral:rRNA from 1 species
UACGUAGGGCGCAAGCGUUGUCCGGAAUUAUUGGGCGUAAAGAGCUCGUAGGCGGUUUGUCGCGUCUGCUGUGAAAUCCCGAGGCUCAACCUCGGGCUUGCAGUGGGUACGGGCAGACUAGAGUGCGGUAGGGGAGACUGGAAUUCCUGGUGUAGCGGUGGAAUGCGCAGAUAUCAGGAAGAACACCCGUGGCUAAGGCGGCUCUCUAGUACGGUACUGACGCUGAGACGCGAAAGCGUGGGGAGCGAACAGG